rnacentral:rRNA from 1 species
AGCCCGCUCAGACACUCAAAGGAAUUGACGGGGCCCGCACAAGCAGCGGAGCAUGUGGUUUAAUUCGAAGCAACGCGAAGAACCUUACCUAGACUUGACAUCUCCUGAAUUACUCUGUAAUGGAGGAAGCCACUUCGGUGGCAGGAAGACAGGUGGUGCAUGGUUGUUGUCAGCUCGUGUCGUGAGAUGUUGGGUUAAGUCCCGCAACGAGCGCAACCCUUAUUGUUAGUUGCUACCAUUUAGUUGAGCACUCUAGCGAGACUGCCCGGGUUAACCGGGAGGAAGGUGGGGAUGACGUCAAAUCAUCAUGCCCCUUAUGUCUAGGGCUACACACGUGCUACAACGGUCGGUACAAUGAGAUGCAACCUCGCGAGAGUGAGCAAAACUAUAAAACCGAUCUCAGUUCGGAUUGUAGGCUGAAACUCGCCUACAUGAAGCUGGAGUUGCUAGUAAUCGCGAAUCAGAAUGUCGCGGUGAAUACGUUCCCGGGCCUU